AUUGAACGCUGGCGGCAUGCUUUACACAUGCAAGUCGAACGGUAACAGGCCGCAAGGUGCUGACGAGUGGCGAACGGGUGAGUAAUGCAUCGGAACGUGCCCAGUCGUGGGGGAUAACUACUCGAAAGAGUAGCUAAUACCGCAUACGAUCUCUGGAUGAAAGCGGGGGACCGUAAGGCCUCGCGCGAUUGGAGCGGCCGAUGUCAGAUUAGGUAGUUGGUGGGGUAAAGGCUCACCAAGCCAACGAUCUGUAGCUGGUCUGAGAGGACGACCAGCCACACUGGGACUGAGACACGGCCCAGACUCCUACGGGAGGCAGCAGUGGGGAAUUUUGGACAAAGGGCGCAAGCCUGAUCCAGCAAUGCCGCGUGCAGGAAGAAGGCCUUCGGGUUGUAAACUGCUUUUGUACGGAACGAAACGGCUCUGGUUAAUACCCGGGGCUAAUGACGGUACCGUAAGAAUAAGCACCGGCUAACUACGUG
rnacentral:rRNA from 1 species